UACGAAGGGGGCUAGCGUUGCUCGGAUUGACUGGGCGUAAAGGGCGCGUAGGCGGUUCGUACAGUCAGACGUGAAAUUCCUGGGCUCAACCUGGGGGCUGCGUUUGAUACGUGCGGACUUGAGUGCGGAAGAGGGUCGUGGAAUUCCCAGUGUAGAGGUGAAAUUCGUAGAUAUUGGGAAGAAAACCGGUGGCGAAGGCGGCGACCUGGUCCGAUACUGACGCUGAGGCGCGAAAGCGUGGGGAGCAAACAGG
rnacentral:rRNA from 1 species